UGAGGAAUAUUGGUCAAUGGGCGCGAGCCUGAACCAGCCAAGUAGCGUGAAGGAUGACUGCCCUAUGGGUUGUAAACUUCUUUUAUAAAGGAAUAAAGUGGUCCACGUGUGGAUUUUUGUAUGUACUUUAUGAAUAAGGAUCGGCUAACUCCGUGCCAGCAGCCGCGGUAAUACGGAGGAUCCAAGCGUUAUCCGGAUUUAUUGGGUUUAAAGGGAGCGUAGAUGGAUGUUUAAGUCAGUUGUGAAAGUUCGGGGCUCAACCCCGGAAUUGCAGUUGAUACUGGAUAUCUUGAGUACAGUUGAGGUAGGCGGAAUUCGUGGUGUAGCGGUGAAAUGCUUAGAUAUCACGAAGAACUCCGAUUGCGAAGGCAGCUUACUAAGCUGUAACUGACAUUGAGGC
rnacentral:rRNA from 1 species